UUGAUUUAGUGCUAAAAUGAAUAUGAAUGAAAGAGGUAGUGCUGGCUUUUCUGCUUUCCUUUGAAGGCUAUCCUCUCACAGAGCAACCCCAAGCAGAAAGACGGGGUCUCAAGCUGCAAAUCACAGAGGAAAAAGCUGCCUCGUGCACAUGUACCACCUUUUCUUCACGGUGUAGUGGAAAAUGGGCCCUUUUUCCCAAUCCCAAAUCCCGAUCCAGGCAGAGCUGUGCUGACACCCCCUGCCUGGCCAGCUCCAGCUCCCCUCUGUCUUGCAACAGGCAAGGAAAAUGCAGAUUUUUGCAAGGAUAUUUAGCACAAAAGCCAGAGAGCUACAACUGGAGAGGCUGUGUUAGUGUAUACACGUAAACAACAGCAUAAACUACAUGUGUAUAAGCGCCCGGCAAGCACCCUCUGGACUGCUUGGCACUCUGAAUUCAGCCUGUUUCUGCAGUUUGUGAUGAAGAGGGACACAAAGUCUGGCCAAACCAGGAAGGAAAGGAUCGUCUUCUAGACUGAGACCACCCUGGCCGCAUUCAAUUGCACAACACAAAUGAUGUUUGGUCAGUAAUGCAUUGCUAGAAAAACCCUGUAACACACAAGAGGUGUACGACACUUGGUUUACGUGCAGAAGCACGAGCAACAGUCCCGUAGGAACACAGGCAAACCAUAACGCCAUGCCACGGUCAGCACACAUCCCCUCUGGAAGGGACGUAAAGGAAGAAACGGCUCUUACGUGAAUCAAGCCCAGAUGUAAACACUGGCUUGGCGGAUGAUUGACUAAGGCAGGGAGAAAUUGGGGAUCAGGUCUCUAGACAGGCCCCUUGUUUGCUCGUACUGAUUUAAAGCACGGCUCUCCUAUGAAAAGCUCCCUCUGUUUCCCAUUUUGCAGACGACAAGUCACAGCUCACGUUAAUAUUCAGGAUUUGUGGGGAGUGAGUAUGAAACGCUAUCCAGUUUGGUUUGCUUGCUUCUCCUAAUUACCAGCCUAAACGAUCACGACAGCGGCUGAGUUGUAGAGAUGAUGGAUCAGGCCUGACACAUAAACUGUUCUGGUGCUCUGUGUUUGACCGAUUUUCUAGGUAGCCUUCAUAAAAGAGCUUCUGUGUAAACUUACAACGGACAGACCCUAGCAUGUAAACAUUCUUUACUAGAUUUAGUCUUGAGGAAAGCAUCUGACGUGAAUUCCUUGUGACCAUCAAUUGCCCAAGGGCCCUCAUAAAAAAAAAGCAAAUUUUAAGUCGGAUGACUAGAUUUUCAUGGCGCUUGUAUCACGUGGGACUGCAUGGCAGAGCAGACUAGAGGCACAGCAUGCUGCUAAAAGCAUGAGAGGACUUACUGAGAGCUACAUUUAAAAGACCUGCUUCGAUGUACUGUGCAACAGACAGCAUCAUGGUGGAAGUGCAUGUCUCCAUCUUUUCCUUUUCCCCGUGCUGGGUUCGGGUGCUGUGACAGCAGUGCAGUUUGAUUGCUUUCAAAACCCAGGAAAAGUGCAGCCCAGCUCUCUAGGGCCAAGCUACAGCCUGAGGCGGCGGCUGUGGAACGAUGAUUUAAAUCUGCCUUUUUCCUGAGAGGUCCCUCAAAAACUGAAGUUAAUAAUUUAAGGAAUGCUGACUCAGGAAAAAUGCUAUGUUCCUAACUAUAAUGUGCAAACACAAUGUAAUAUAACAGGCAAUGAGGCGCCUCGUUGCUAGACUAGAUUGUACAAGUAGAUUUUACUAUAACUGGCAAUGUACGUCAAAAGCGUAACAGCUUUGUCCUCACUAGGGUUUUUCCUCAAGCUAGUGAGGUGAGACUGUUCACCCUGUGCCAGGCAUCGACUGUAGCCACCUGAACGGGCCAGGCAGCCAUCGCAGGAUCCUUCGAUGGUCGAUGGAUUUCUCUGGAGACGGCUCUGGAGAAGGCGCUUGGCUCAGUCACAUCCUAGGUUGAAAUUCAAAAUUGAUGGACUUAAAAACUACAUGACUAAAAUCUCUGCUCUGGUUCUGGUGGCAAGAUAGGAUGGGGUGAACGAUGCAACGCCCCGGAGAAAGGAGAAGCUGGAAAUCGCUGCCGCAGCAGGAAAUCUCUGCAAGGUUAGAAGAGAGGCAACCCGAAUCUGACUCCUCAGCCACCGUGGUAAUCUGUUCGUGCAGCUUCCAGCCAUUUCGUUUAAACGGCGACGCAGCUCUUUCCAUACAGGAAAAGGGAGUCUGCCCCCAUCUGCUUUGCUGACUGCGAACUGGCAGCCGUCCUCCAGCACUUGAGAACCAUAUGCCAAGUACUUGGAUUCAAAGGACUUGAGCAGGAGGACUUUAUCCCAGGUCCACCUGGGAAAGGUUAGAGUGAGGAAGAGACUGCUGGAGGUGUUUUACCACCGACCCCAGCGGAGGUAGCA